AACAAGUUCAUUAUAUUCUUCAUCAUAUAGCUCAGGCGCCAUAAAUUCAGGGGUACCAAUAACACUUCGAACAGUAGGUUGCUCCAUAAUUGUCGCCAAUCCAAGAUCUCCAAGUUUAACUUCUCCAUGGUUUCCAUUGAUGAAUAUAUUGUCACAUUUCAAGUCUCUAUGUAUAACCGGUGGAUUGUGACUAUGGAGAUAAUGUAAACCUUGGAGAAUUUGUCUAGCCCAAUGUUUAAUGGCUUUAGUGUCAACCGUCUUAUGCUUUGUCCGAU
rnacentral:misc_RNA from 1 species